GGGGAAGGAGCCCGGGCCCCAGGGCCUGAGGAGGCGGCGGCGGCUUCAAACUGGGGCGUCCCAUGGCAGCGGCAGGUGGAGCACGAGGAGAAAGACUGGCUGAUUGGGUCUGGGGCGGCGUUUGCCAUCGGUGGCGACUACAGGUACAUCACCGGCCCCUGUGGAGUCUCCGAGGAGGAGGCAGGGGGAAGGUGGCCCACAGACACGUUACAGGAGGAGGCGAGGGACGAAGAUGACGACGACGUCGUCAUCAACGUGUGACACAGACUGGCCAAUCUCAGCGCUCCUCCGUCAGCUGAUCAGACUCACUUUAAGGCACGGAGCAGCGGGCGGGUGGAGACGCACUGAGGGACAAUCACGACCACUCCUCCCACUACGUUUCAGAACAAAGAGUCAAAGGAUCCAUUAAGGAGUCGAUCAGCAGGUGAAUCGGUAACGGAGGGAGAUGCUGUUAGUCACCGAGAGGAAACAGAAGGGGGCGCCGAAACGCCUCACAUUCAUUUCAUUAAUAAACGUUUUAUUUUCAGCUUGUGUUUUAGAGGACAUUACCAUUUAGGUCUGGAGCUGUGCUUUUAUUUUGAAAGACUGGGGGUUUCCUGAACACACCUGUGACCCUUACCUGGGCCGGGAACCUCCAGUUGGACAACCCUGCACUGAACCUGUAUUAACAGGGAAACAUUUCAGGUUUGACCUUCCUGCUGAAGCUCCUCUCACAAAGCAUUUUUCUGAAGCGCUUUGAUUUUAGUUUAUGAUGUGUUGAGAAAUUAUGGGAUGUGUGAAAGCUGCUGGACGUGUCCUGUGAGGGAGGCCUCUGUGGCCUACAUGUGCCUUCUAUUGGUUUCUUCUUCACGGUGUGUCCCACCCUCUAUCUGUGUCUCUCUGCUGCCCCCAGUGGUGGCUGUUGCUGUAACAGUGAAGCUGUGUUUUGUUAUUACUGAAUUAACUUGAAGUUUUAAUGGUGACAGACUUAACUGAUUUAUUGAUUUAUUGAUCCUGGUUUGCGUUCGUGUCUGCAGUGUCUUGUGUUGCUAUGACGACACUCUUACCUCUGUGUGUGAUGUCUCACUGACUUCAGGUCUGUAAGAAAGUGAUAAUUAAAUAAAGUGUUUCCUGUU